rnacentral:rRNA from 1 species
UGCGUAGGUGGAUAUAUAAGUCAGAGGUGAAAGACUUGAGCUUAACUGAAGAAUUGCCUUUGAUACUGUAUAUCUUGAAUUAGGUUGAGGUUAGCGGAAUGUGACAUGUAGCGGUGAAAUGCAUAGAUAUGUCAUAGAACACCAAUUGCGAAGGCAGCUAGCUAGGCCUAUAUUGACGCUGAGGCACGAAAGCAUGGGGAGCGAACAGGAUUAGAUACCCUGGUAGUCC